CAGGAUGAACGCUAGCGGCAGGCUUAACACAUGCAAGUCGAGGGGCAUCGGGAGGGAAGCUUGCUUUCCUUGCCGGCGACCGGCGCACGGGUGAGUAACACGUAUGCAACCUGCCCUCUUCAGGGGGACAACCUUCCGAAAGGGAGGCUAAUCCCGCGUAUAUCGGUUUCGGGCAUCCGAGAUCGAGGAAAGAUUCAUCGGAAGAGGAUGGGCAUGCGGCGCAUUAGCUAGACGGCGGGGUAACGGCCCACCGUGGCGACGAUGCGUAGGGGUUCUGAGAGGAAGGUCCCCCACACUGGUACUGAGACACGGACCAGACUCCUACGGGAGGCAGCAGUGAGGAAUAUUGGUCAAUGGGAGAGAUCCUGAACCAGCCAAGCCGCGUGAGGGAAGACGGCCCUAUGGGUUGCAAACCUCUUUUGUCGGAGAACAAAACCCGGGACGAGUCCCGGACUGCGUGUAUCCGAAGAAAAAGCAUCGGCUAACUCCGUGCCAGCAGCCGCGGUAAUACCGGAGGAUGCGAGCGUUAUCCGGAUUUAUUUGGGUUUAAAGGGUGCGUAGGCCGGUCCGUUAAGUCAGGCGGUAAAAUUGCGGGGCUCAACCCCCGUUGAGCCGUUGAAACUGGCAGACUUGAGUUUGGCGAGAAGUACGCGGAAUGCGCGGGUGUAGCGGUGAAAUGCAUAGAUAUCGCGCAGAACUCCGAUUGCGAAGGCAGCGUACCGGCGCCAGACUGACGCUGAGGCACGAAAGCGUGGGGAUCGAACAGGAUUAGAUACCCUGGUAGUCCACGCAGUAAACGAUGAAUGCUGGUUGUCCGGGUCGAAUGAGACCUGGGCGGCGAAGCGAAAGCGAUAAGCAUUCCACCUGGGGAGUACGCCGGCAACGGUGAAACUCAAAGGAAUUGACGGGGGCCCGCACAAGCGGAGGAACAUGUGGUUUAAUUCGAUGAUACGCGAAGAACCUUACCCGGGCUCAAACGGGAGUGGAAUGGACCAGAGACGGUUCAGCCUACGGGCCGCUUCCGAGGUGCUGCAUGGUUGUCGUCAGCUCGUGCCGUGAGGUGUCGGCUUAAGUGCCAUAACGAGCGCAACCCCCGCCGGCAGUUGCUAACGGGCAAUGCCGAGGACUCUGCCGGGACUGCCGCCGCAAGGCGUGAGGAAGGCGGGGAUGACGUCAAAUCAGCACGGCCCUUAUGUCCGGGGCGACACACGUGUUACAAUGGGCGGUACAGCGGGAAGCCAGGCGGCGACGCCGAGCGGAACCCGAAAGCCGUUCUCAGUUCGGAUCGGAGUCUGCAACCCGACUCCGUGAAGCUGGAUUCGCUAGUAAUCGCGCAUCAGCCAUGGCGCGGUGAAUACGUU
rnacentral:rRNA from 1 species